rnacentral:rRNA from 1 species
AGUGAACGCUGGCGGUGGGCCUAACACAUGCAAGUCGAACGGCAGCACAGUAAGAUCUUGCUCUUACGGGUGGCGAGUGGCGGACGGGUGACGCAUACAUCGGAAUCUACUUUUUCGUGGGGGAUAACGUAGGGAAACUUACGCUAAUACCGCAUACGACCUACGGGUGAAAGCAGUGGAUCUUCGGACCUUGCGCGAUUGAAUGAGCCGAUGUCGGAUUAGCUAGUUGGCGGGGUAAAGGCCCAACAAGGCGACGAUCCGUAGCUGGUCUGAGAGGAUGAUCAGCCAAACUGGAACUGGGACAAGGUCCAGACUCCUACGGGAGGCAGCAGUGGGGAAUUUUGGACAAUGGGCGCAAGCCUGAUCCAGCCAUCCCGCGUGGGUGGAGAAGGCCUUCGGGUUGGAAAGCCCUUUUGUUGGGAAAGAAAAGCAGCAGGUUAAUACCCCGCUGUUCUGACGGUACCCAAAGAAUAAGCACCGGCUAACUUCGUG